AUGGCUCAGGAUGAACGCUAGCGGCAGGCUUAACACAUGCAAGUCGAGGGGCAUCGGGAGUAGCAAUACUUGCCGGCGACCGGCGCAAGGGUGCGUAACGCGUGAGCAACAUGCCCGUAUCAGGGGGAUAAUCCAUGGAAACGUGGUCUAAUACCCCAUAGUAAUUAUGUAAGGCAUCUUAUAUAAUUUAAAGCUUUGGUGGAUACGGAUUGGCUCGCGUGACAUUAGCUAGAUGGUAAGGUAACGGCUUACCAUGGCUACGAUGUCUAGGGGUUCUGAGAGGAAGGCCCCCCACACUGGAACUGAGACACGGUCCAGACUCCUACGGGAGGCAGCAGUGAGGAAUAUUGGACAAUGGAUGGAAAUCUGAUCCAGCCAUGCCGCGUGCCAGGAAGACGGCCCUAUGGGUUGUAAACUGCUUUUGUAUGGGAGCAAUAAGGGCUACGCGUAGUCCGAUGAGAGUACCAUACGAAUAAGCACCGGCUAACUCCGUGCCAGCAGCGGC
rnacentral:rRNA from 1 species